GCCUCCGUGGUUCAAAGGAUAGAACGCGAGCCUCCGGAGCUCGAGAUGCAGGUUCGAUUCCUGCCGGGGGUACAA
rnacentral:tRNA from 1 species